rnacentral:rRNA from 1 species
UAGGGAAUAUUAGAAAUGGACGAAAGUCUGAUCUAGCGACACCGCGUGUGCGAUGAAGGCCUUCGGGUUGUAAAGCACUUUUUGGAAGGAAUAGGAAGGAAGGUACUUCCAGAAUAAGUCUCGGCUAACUACGUGCCAGCAGCCGCGGUAACACGUAGGAGGCAAACGUUAUCCGGAUUUACUGGGCGUAAAGCGCGUGUAGGUGGUUCUGUAAGUAGGGCGUGAAAGCUCCCGGCUCAACUGGGAGAGGCCGUUCUAAACUGCAGAACUAGAGGAUGGUAGAGGGAGGUGGAAUUCCAGGUGUAGCGGUGGAAUGCGCAGAUAUCUGGAGGAACACCAGUGGCGAAAGCGGCCUCCUGGACCAUUCCUGACACUCAGACGCGAAAGCUAGGGUAGCAAACG